UAUUACCCAGGCUGGAUCGUCGAACUGCUUUGUUACCCCACUUUGUCUCGGACCUUUGGAGUACCUGAGCUUGAGACGCCACGUUGUUAUUGUUCUACUGGACUAACCUUGCUGGCUGCCGCCAAGUGCCUCCUGCCUCACACCAAUUCCACUGAAUCUGUCCAUCCCCCACCGCUCUCAAGCGACCCAGCUCUGGCAUCGUACUACCACUCGCUGUUGCACACUCCUGGUUUGGAAGCCUUUGUACUCACCGCAGUCAGUCUGAAUCCCUCUCCUCCUGGCGGAGAGCACCCAACCUACCCUGCCAUGUACCAGAGUAUCCAGUAUUCCUGUAUUCAAUAAACGUAUUUACAAACGUU